GAUGAAGAACGUAGCGAACGUGCGAAACGUAAUGUGAAUUGCAGAAUUCAGUGAAUCAUCGAAUCUUUGAACGCACAUUGCGCCCGCCAGUAUUCUGGCGGGCAUGCCUGUUCGAGCGUCAUUACAACCCUCAGGCCCCCGGGCCUGGCGUUGGGGAUCGGCGGAGCCCCCCGUGGGCACACGCCGUCCCCCAAAUACAGUGGCGGUCCCGCCGCAGCUUCCAUCGCGUAGUAGCUAACACCUCGCGACUGGAGAGCGGCGCGGCCACGCCGUAAAACACCCAACUCUUCUGAAGUUGACCUCGAAUCAGGUAGGAAUACCCGCUGAACUUAAGCAUAUCAAUAAGCGGAGGA
rnacentral:misc_RNA from 1 species